rnacentral:lncRNA from 1 species
AGGAAGCCUGUAACUUCAGCACAAGUUCUACAUUCGCGACGAUUGGGUCAAAUGAAACAGGGGUUAAGUAUUCCUGGAAGGGAGCGGCCUUUUGAUCCAAAGACAGCAAGUCUAGAGGACUCGGAAUUCAUCCUUAACAAAAAUGUGCCUCUUUUCGACGUUGUUCCUCCGAUUCUUGAUUCAAUUUUUCGUUCUGCUUGAUAAUUUUCAAGGGAGAAAGUAACAUUUUCAUUUUUAUGCAACAAAGUCAUCUAGAGACAAACCUUCUCUUGUGUUUUCACAGCUUUGGGGAAACUUCAAAGGACACGGCUUGGUCUGUUCAUUAUGCUAACUAUAGCUGCCUAUAAAUAAGAGGGUUGACCUCAAUUGUGUGAGUAAAAGAACUGCUAUACUUAUGUUCCUUCCUGUAAUAACGAAAGCCUCUUCCUUAAUUCAGUGUCUCUACUUCUUUAGCAAAAUAAAAUAAAUUCUUGAUCGAAAUACACCCAACUUUUCCAAUUUUCUUAUAAAAAUGACACCACAAUAGGAUGGGAUUGUCCUUGUGUUGUGUCAUUGAUCUAUUGAUGCAGCGGAAGUUUAAUGUUCAAAAUAUUCCGUUGCUGCAGUUUGGUAUUAGAGCUAAAACCUGGUCCACCAAUCUAACUCCAUCUACCACCAAACCUUUCCUUUUUUCCUUUUUUGUUUUUUUCCGUUUAGUUUAAAAAAAAACCCAAACAACACCAAAAAAGCAUAGAAAAAAAAAAGAAAAAAAUUAUAUCAUGAAAUCACAACAUCGACGUGAAGAUUUCAUCUUGAGAGAUGUUUUAAUUAAGAUGUUGAGGAUUUUACGUUUGAUUUCUCAAGAUUUAGAGAAACUUCGAGAUAGAAAAUCUUUACACAUAAAGCAGACAUAUGGAUUCGAUGAAGUUGUUCAUGAUGAUGUUUGUUAUGAGGAUAAUGAGGAAAAUGGUAACUUUGUUUCUCUCGACAAUAUUAUUCCUUCCAAAGAGAAUAUUAAUUGGCCAUUCGUGUCUACAACAAAUCCUCAAUACAAAGAUAUUAAUUUGGAUCAAUUGCCAUAAUUUGAUGAGUAUCUUGAUAUUAUAGGACGAGAAGAGGUAAUUGUUCAUCCAUCUUUUGAUCUUGUGGAGGAAAGAGAGAUAGUUGUUGAUACAAUCUCCUAUUGUUCUCUUGAUUUGCCAAAAGAAGACAAAAAGAGUUGUGAUAUUUUUCAACAAUUAGUGGAUUAUGAGAAGAAAUCGUUUUUCCUCAACUAUGUUGAAGUUCGACACGAACGAUACAAGAAAACAUUAUUAAAGAAGUUGUUGAUAGAAGAAUUUAUUUUACGCCAUUGGAGUGAUUGGAUGGACGUUAUUACAAAAGUUGGAAAAUUUAAAGUUCGUCGUCUAUGUCAAAGCUCUGUUUUAAAAAUUAAUCCUUAUGCACAUGAAGAUGUUCUUGAAGACUACAACAUACAAAAUUCGAGGACGAAUUUUCUCCAACCUAGCGGGAAUGAUGCAGAGCAAGAAAUUGAAGAAAUCCUAAUUAUAUUUAAAUGUAUAAUAUUUAGGAAUAUUUUAAUUAAUUUGUAUUAUAGUUUAAUUUGGUUUCCUAUUUAGAGUCUUAUUGUUUAGGUAUUGCUUAUUUGGGUAAUAUUCCUAAUUUAGGCAUAAGUCUUAUUAAAAUAGGUUUUCUAAUCAUAUUAGGAUAAGUCUUACUUAGUAUAAAUAAGUGUCUUUUGUAGCUUUUACAAGCAGAGAAUUUUGAGUUCAAUAAUAUUUCAAUUUUCAAAUCUCUUUGUGAGUAUUUGAACAGUUAAUUCUCGGUAUUCUGAAUCAACGAGUCUUAACCCCUAAGUUCGCGAUAUUCUUUUGAAUCAAUGUGAAUUUAGUUGUUCUUUUAUUCCGGUAUUCUCUAGAAUCAACGGAAUAUUUUGAACAUUAAACUUCUGCUACAUCAUAAGUUUCUUUUGUAGCUUUUACAAGCAGAGAAUUUUGAGUUCAAUAAUAUUUCAAUUUUCAAAUCUCUUUGUGAGUAUUUGAACAGUUAAUUCUCGGUAUUCUGUGGAAUCAACGAGUCUUAAUCCCUAAAUUCGCGGUAUUCUUUUGAAUCAACAUGAAUUUAGUUGUUCUUUUGUUCCGGUAUUCUCUAGAAUCAACGGAAUAUUUUGAACAUUAAACUUCUGCUACAUCAUAAGUGUCUUUUGUAGCUUUUACAAGCAGAGAAUUUUGAGUUCAAUAAUAUUUCAAUUUUCAAAUCCUUUUGUGAGUAUUUGAACAGUUAAUUCUCGGUAUUCUGUGGGAUCAACGAGUCUUAAUCCCUAAAUUCGCGGUAUUCUUUUGAAUUAACGUGAAUUUAGUUGUUCUUUUGUUCCGGUAUUCUCUAGAAUCAACGGAAUAUUUUGAACAUUAAACUGAUGGACGUUAUUACAAAAGUUGGAAAAUUUAAAGUUCGUCGUCUAUGUCAAAGCUCUGUUUUAAAUAUUAAUCCUUAUGCACAUGAAGAUAUUCUUGAAGACUACAACAUACAAAAUUCGAGGACGAAUUUUUUCCAACCUGGCGGGAAUAAUGCAAAGUAAGAAAUUGAAGAAAUCCUAAUUAUAUUUAAAUGUAUAAUAUUUAGGAAUAUUUUAAUUAAUUUGUAUUCUAGUUUAAUUUGGUUUCCUAUUUAGAGUCUUAUUGUUUAGGCAUUGCUUAUUUGAGUAAUAUUCCUAAUUUAGGUAUAAGUCUUAUUAAAAUAGGUUUUCUAAUCAAGUUAGGAUAAGUGAUGCAGCGGAAGUUUAAUGUUCAAAAUAUUCCGUUGAUUCUAGAGAAUACCGAAAUAAAAGAACAACUAAAUUCACAUUGAUUCAAAAGAAUACCGCGAACUUAGGGGUUAAGACUCGUUGAUUCAGAAUACCGAGAAUUAACUGUUCAAAUACUCACAAAGAGAUUUGAAAAUUGAAAUAUUAUUGAACUCAAAAUUCUCUGCUUGUAAAAGCUACAAAAGACACUUAUUUAUACUAAGUAAGACUUAUCCUAAUAUGAUUAGAAAACCUAUUUUAAUAAGACUUAUGCCUAAAUUAGGAAUAUUACCCAAAUAAGUAAUACCUAAACAAUAAGACUCUAAAUAGGAAACUAAAUUAAACUAUAAUACAAAUUAAUUAAAAUAUUCCUAAAUAUUAUACAUUUAAAUAUAAUUAGGAUUUCUUCAAUUUCUUGCUCUGCAUUAUCUAUCCAUAUUUGUUUUUCCCAAAACAAUUUCCAUGAAGGAGGAUGUUUUGCUGCUUGUUAGUGCACGCUAUUUAAGCACAAGACAUGAUUGAGAUUUAUGCAAGGUAUGUGGUAGAAUUUAUGUAAGACGACCGAUGAAGCUAAACAUGAGAGUUAGUAACUUUUACUGUGGUGAUCAACGCGUUGAAGAAAAAUUUUAGAAUUUUUAUUAUAAGUGGUGCAUACAAAAGUUGGUGAGUCGAACUUGUACUCAAAUACUAGCUCAUGUAUUAGGAGUUGCCUUAGGCUUAUGUUAUUAAUCUAGUAACUAAUAUUAGCGAUAUGAAAUAUUUUUUCUAUCAUCUUCCAUCACAUGUGUGUAGGUCAAUCUUUUUGUUUGGUCCUUGUCUUGUGAUAAGAUAGUGUGAGUGAUUUUGAGAGAAAAUAUGAAAAACACAAACAAUGAAAAUUCACUUUUACUUAAACUAAGACACAGAUUUUUUUACACUGAAGUUGAUAGAAGACACUCGAAUGCGCAGGAGUGAAAUCUUGACAAAUUAAAGCGAGAACUAAGACAUGCUAGUCCUUUCUCGCGCAUUUAGUUGACAUUAUUUUGCUUUGCAAAUAAAUGCGGGCAUGGUUGAAGGCAUUUUAUCUUUUCGGAAGUGGAUGGAGAAAUAAAUAUAAUUAAAAGGGAUGCGAAUAAUAAAUGCCAUUUUUCUUAAUAACGAAGAAGAAUAUAUUAGAAAUAAAUUGAAAUGUAACAAAAUACUUGAAAUAAUUCAAGUGGUGGGUUUUUUCUUUGUCAAUAACGCCCGAUAGUUCCUUGUUUUGAAGAAAGCUCAUUGUGCUGAACUGAGAAGAGAGAAGAAGCCAUAAAUUAAAAUGCGUCAACAAUGCCACGUCAACAAUGUUGAGUCAGCUGAUUCUGUUAAGCAGCAAUGAGAGUUCACGUGUAUUGCUGUUAGUUAGUAUUAGCCAGUCUCUUACUGAUUAGUUAACUAUUUUUCAGUGUAAUACAAAUUAGUUUGUUAUAGCUUUUACUAAUAAACAUGUAAGUAUAUAAAGUUUGUAAGAACUACUCAUUUUUAACUAAUGAAUUAGAUCCAGAAUAUUCAUAAACUUUCUCUCUGUUUUCUCGAUAACCAAACAGCAUUUUCAAUUCAUUUUACAUGGUAUCAGAGCCAGAAAUAUGGCAAGCUCAAGCAAUCCAAACACAGCAAACAUGAAUCAAUCAAUACAAACUACCUUUUCAUUCAUUACGCCAAUCAAAUUGGAUAGAUCCAAUUAUAUGCUCUGGCGAAAUCAAGUAUUAGCUUCUAUAAGAGGAAACAGACUUGAAGGCUAUAUCAAUGGAGAAAAAGCAGCACCUACUCAGUUUCUUACUUCUGGAAGCUAUGCUGAAACAAUGGGAAGAGUUACACAACAAGUUGAAAAUCCAGAAUAUACGAUCUGGAGGUCACAGGAUCAGACAUUACUAAGCUGGCUAUUAAGCUCAAUUACUGAAGGUAUCCUCAGUCACGUUCAUUCUUGUAAUACUGCAUAUGAUGUGUGGAAAACAUUGGAGAAAAAAUUUGGUGCAAAAUCUGAAGCUAGAGUUCUUUAACUCAAAUAUAAGAUGAGUGUUUUGAGGAAAGAUUCGCUAAAUGUAGAAGAUUAUUGUUUGAAAAUGAAACAAAUAGAAGAUAAGUUAGCAUGUGCUGGUAGUUCAGUUUCUGACAAAGAUCUGUUACAACAAAUCCUUAAUGGUCUUGAACCAGGCUAUCUAGAUUUAGCAACUUUCAUUACUGCUAGUAAAUUAGAUUUUGAUGAUGCAUAUGCAUUGCUACUCACACAUGAAACAAGAUUGGAAUAGAGUCUAAAUGAAAAACAUAUGUUAAAUGCAAAUCUUGCUAAUGUUUCUCAUAAUAAUAGUAGCUAUGGUAUGAUGAAUGUUUAUUAUGCUCAAGCAAGAGGUAAUGCUCGAAGAGGUGGAUAUAAUGGAGGAUUUCAUGGUGGAAAUCAAUUUGGAAGGAACAAUUUUCAUACUGGAAAGGGAAUGUUUGUCAAUUCUCAUCCAAGAGGCUUUCCUUCUGGAUCUGGAAAUUUUGGUAAUAAUCUUGGUAGAGGUCAAAUGGUUGGAAACAAUAAUAAGCAGGCACAAUUCAUGAGAGGACAAUAUAGUGCUAACUCUAGUUUGUCAAAUUCUGAUGGUAAUGAUGAACAAGCUGUUGUCUGUCAAAUCUGCUUUAAAUCUGGACACACAGCAGCAGAAUGUUGGCAUAGAUUUGAAGAAAACUAUAUGCCUCAACACAUGAAAAGAGGAAGAAAUCAGAGAUCAUCUUAUAUGACAUACUUUAAUGCACCUACUGAAGAUUCAUGGCCUACUGCAGCUGCUUAUUCAGGGAUACCUCACAUGUAUAAUCCACCAUGUUCUUCAUACAUAUUUGAUUCAAUGAGCUUACCUGUGAAUGGAGCUGGAGCUGCUUAUGUUGCUAACUUUGAGGGACCAGCAGAUGAAGGAUGGUAUCUUGACAAUGGAGCUACACACCAUCUAACAAACAAUAUGGCAAAUAUGCAUGUCAGCAAUGAGUUCAGAGGUAAUGACAAGCUUAUCAUUGGUGAUGGUAAAGGUAUGUCAAUCACACAUAUUGGUAAUACCAAUCUUCCAGUUCAAAGCUCUAAAACACAAUCUGCAUAUACAUGCAUUGCACUCAAAGAUAUACUGCUUGUUCCAUCUAUUACAAAGAAUUUAAUAAGUGUUUCCAAACUCACCACUGAUAAUGACUUAUCUGUUGAAUUCCUUGGAUCUGUUUACUUUGUGAAGGAUAUACUGAAGGGGAAAAUUCUGCUACAGGGUAUUGUUGAGAAAGGUUUAUACAAAUUGCAGCUGAGUUCAUCACCACAAUCUACAUAUACCUCUUUUCUAUCCCAAAGUUCAAUAAAUAAACCUGUAUCUAUGCUAUCUCAGUGUUAUCUUAGCACUUCAGUUAAUAGUCUUUGUUCUGGAAAAUGUUUUCAGUCAAAUAAGAAUACUUGUAGCACUGAUUCAUUCAAUAAAAUGUCUUUACUUCACAAAAGAUUUGGUCAUCCUAAUACUCAAAGUCUACUUCAUUUACUUAAGCUUGUGCAUCCCAAUUUGUGCUCUACAAAUAUUGUUAAUCAAGCAACAAAGCAUUUCUGUGAAGCAUGUCAGUUGGGAAAAUUUCAUAGGCUUCAUUUUCCAAUCACUGAUAUCAAAUCCACAGCAGCACUAGAACUUGUUCAUACUGAUCUAUGGGGUCCCUCACCAGCAUGUUCUAGAGAUGGUUUUAGAUAUUACAUUAGUUUUGUUGAUGAUCACACUAGAUACACCUGGAUUUAUCCUUUGAAACUUAAAUCAGAAGCUCUAGAAGUGUUCAAACUAUUUAAACUUCAAGUUGAAAAUCAAUUUCAAACUACUAUCAAAAUUCUACAAUCUGACUGGGGGGGAGAAUACAGACCAUUUACUUCCUUCCUAAAUGAGUGUGGCAUUCUUUUUAAACAUUCUUGUCCUUACACUCACCAUCAAAAUGGACUUGGUGAAAAAAAACACAGACAGAUUGUAGAAUUAGGACUGACACUUCUAGCCCAAGCCAAACUUCCUUUUCAAUUGGUGGGAUGCUUUUCAUGCCUCAGUCUAUCACAUUAAUAGACUCUCUACUUCUGUACUUAAGAUGUCUACUCCAUAUAAAAAGCUUUAUAAACACAAGGCUGAUUAUAACAUGCUGAAAUGCUUUGGAUGUGCUUGUUAUCCAUAUAUGAGAGAUUACAAUAAGCAUAAGUUUGACUAUCACACAACCAAGUGCAUCUGUCUUGGUUAUAAUCCAUCUCAUAAAGGCUACAAGUGUUUUCACCCAUCUGGUCAUAUAUAUAUAGCUAGGCAUGUUGUCUUUGAUGAACACUCAUAUCUAUUUGCUUCAGAUCCUAGCUUUCAUUCUUCAAAUAAAUCUAAGUCUGAUACACAUUGCACAAUUACUCCUAUACAAGUUUUUCAGUUGUCAACAUUACCUGUCAUAUCAGAUUUUUCAGUCACCAGCAAUGAAUCUUUCUCUCAAGCAUACUCCAGUGGCAACAUUUUCCCUCCAACAGUAGUCUUAACACAUGCAAAUAGUUUAGACUAGCAACCCUCACACACAAAUAGAAAUAAUCCAUCUGCACCUACAAUGUUACCUUCUGUACCUGAUACAACACCAGAUCAGCCUUCAGAUGAAAAUUCACAAAACCAACAUAAUAAUAAUACCUCUCAUCUCAAUCAAACAGUGGUAACCUCAUCAUCAUUAAACCAACAUCCCAUGAUCACUAUAGGAAAAGCAGGUAUUUUUAAGCCAAAGAUAUAUGCUGCAGUAUUGUUACAUAAAGAACCAGACACUGUUCAGGAGGCUAUCAAUGAUGAGAGAUGGUUUCAAGCAAUGAAAGCUGAAUAUGAUGCACUAAUGUCAAAUGGUACCUGGACACUUGUGCCAAGAACAGAAGAUCACAGACUUGUUGGCAACAAAUGGGUGUUUCGAGUAAAAUCAAAUACUGAUGGAAGUGUUGCAAAAUAUAAGGCAAGGUUGGUUGCUAAAGGAUUCCAACAAAUAGAAGGGGUUAACUACUUUGAGACUUUCAGUCCAGUGGUGAAAGCAGCAACAGUUAGAGUGGUCCUAAGCCUAGCAGUAAUGAAUCAGUGGUAGAUAAGACAGGUUGAUGUGAAUAAUGCAUUCUUAAAUGGAGAUCUAAUUGAGGAGGUAUAUAUGAGUCAACUAGAAGGGUUUAUUGAUUCCAAAAGACCUGAUUUUGUGUGCAAACUUCACAAGGCACUUUAUGGUUUGAAACAAUUUCCACGAGCAUGGUUUGACAAGCUGAGAAAUAGUCUUAUGCAAUGGGGAUUUGAGAAUUCUAAGUCUAACUCAUCUUUGUUCUUGAAAAAGAAUAAAAGAUCAAUUAUUUUAAUCCUGAUAUAUGUAGAUGACAUAUUGAUUACAGGAUCAAGUUGUGAUGCGCUGGAAGAUUUUAUCAAGCUAUUCAGUUCUGCAUUUGCAUUAAAGGAUCUGGGAAAGCUAUCUUAUUUUCUUGGAAUAGAAGUUUUGUAUGAUCUUGAUAGUGUGUAUCUGUCACAAAGGAAGUAUAUUAGAGACUUGUUGGCUAAAGUUGAUAUGCUCGAAUGCAAAGGAAUAGAUACACCAAUGAGCAGCAGCAAAGAUUACAGAUUGCAGAAGAAUGUUGAAGGAGAAAUAGGUUACUACAUACAAUAUCCAUCUCAUUACAGAAAGCAUAGUAGGAGGUCUUCAGUAUCUAGUUUUGACAAGACCUGAGAUUGCCUACUUUGUUCAUAAGUUAAGUCCGUAUGUAUUGCUGCGUAAAUUAGCAAGUGUACUAGUCGGCACAAGUAAUAUAAUGAAGAGUAGAGUAUCGUCCCACAGAGAUUGUAUAUCCUAUUAGUUACCGAAAUUAUUCCAACCCUAAUUUAUUUGAACAAUCGAAUAAAUGAAUUUAGAUUAAAAUUAAAUAAAAUAAAACAAUUAAAAAUUAAAUAAAGAUGUAGACAGUAAUAGAAAUCACCAAGAGAUUAAAACACUAGGACAUUUGAUUUCACCAUAACCAAUCCAAUUUAAUCCUCCAUCUAUGCUAUUAAAAUUGAUUACCCAUGUUGACAGUGAAUUUCCCUAAUUUAUUCAAUAUCCUCUCUCGAGUAAUAUCAAAAAUAUCUCCACAUAUCAACCCACUAUAUCUCUAUGUGAAUUUGAAUAUGCAAAGAUUCAUUAAGCUCUAUGAAAAUUCUUAGAUAAAACUGCACGAAUCACGUUGGCACAUCUCUGUCUUUCGUUCAAUUCAUGGCAUCCAUUACACAGAGCAAAAAUACAUAAAUCUCCUCUCGGUCUCAUUAUGUAUCCUCAAAUCAUUCAAAUAUUGGCCAGAUAUUUAAAAGCAUUAAGCACAAUAAUGAACACUCAAUCAUGGAAUAAUUAAUUAAAAAUAACAUAGAUUUAUGGAAUUAAAUCUUCAUAGUUAGGCUACAUCGUAGCCCUAGUAAAAUAAAUUAGUUCAUGGAAAUAUAAAGAGAAUCCAUUAAUUUAAUUGGAAACAUUCAAGCAAGAUAAUAGAGAAGAGGAAAAGAAAAACUCAAGAAUUAAUGUGUCUUCCUCCUGCUCCAGAUUAUUCCUGCUGCUCUCGGUUUUGCUCAAAACUUGCGGCUGCCUUUUUCUAUCUCCUUUCUCUUGGCUUCUUAUUAUUCUCCUUGUGCGGCUGCCUUUCUUCCCUUUUAUAAUGUUGUGGUUUCUUCCAAAUCCUUAAAGGAAAAGGAUUGCAAAUCCAGCCCACGAAUCCUUAAAUGAAAAUAAUUAAAAACAAAAGCCCAACCGCCUAUUUCAUUCCUAAGCCAAUCAGAAUUAAAAGCAAAAGCCCCUCCACGUGUUGCAUGCCAUAUUUGUCUUUGUAAAUGAAUUCUUCAAUGCUUCCUCACGUGCAUGCAUGCUUAAUGAUUAAUUAAAUUAAAUCCUUUGUGAUUUGUUCCAAUUAAUUCUCUUUAUUUCUUUAUUGUACCUAAAAUAAGAAAAUAUAAAAAUUAAGAUAAAAUUAACAUAAUUAAAUAUAAUUUAACAUAAAAUUAAGUUAUGGAAGCAUUAAAAUAAUAGAUUAAUAUUAGCACAUCAUGUAUCUUCACCAACACUUCAACAUCUUAUGGCAUGCAAACGUGUGCUUAGAUAUUUGAAGGAAACACAAGAUUAUGGGCUGAAAUUUGUUAAGGAAGGUGAGCUAAAGGUUAUAGCAUUUACAGAUGCAGACUGGGGAAGUGAUCUUGAUGACAGAAGAUCCACUGGUGCCUAUUGUGUGUAUCUAGGAAACAACUUAAUCUCAUGGUCCUCAAAGAAGCAAUCUGUAGUUACAAAGUCUUCUGCAGAGAGUGAAUACAGAGCGCUUGCAGCUGCUGUUUCAGAGAUAACAUGGUUAAAAUCUUUAUUUCUUGAGAUUGAUCUAUGUUGUGUGGAGAAACCAGUUAUAUGGUGUGACAAUGUGAGUGCUAAAGAACUUGCUUAUAAUCUAGUGUUUCACUCAAGAACAAAACACAUAGAAAUCGAUCUGCAUUUUAUCAGAGAUAAGGUUCUAGCUGGAGAUCUUAAGAUUCUCUAUAUUCCUAGUGCAGAGCAGAUAGCAGACAUAAUGACUAAGCCCUUAAACUCUCCUCAAUUCAUUUAUCUGAGAAACAAACUCAAUGUGCAUUUAUGCCCCUUGAGUUUGAGGGGGGCUGUGAAGAAAGCUCAUUGUGCUGAACUGAGAAGAGAGAAGAAGCCAGAAAUUAAGAUGCAUCAGCAAUGCCACGUCAACAAUGCUGAGUCAACUGAUUCUGUUAAGCAGCAAUGAGAGUUCACGUGUAUUGCUGUUAGUUAGUAUUAGCUAGUCUCGUACUGAUUAGUUAACUGUUUUUUAGUGUAAUACAAAUUAGUUUGUUAUAGCUUUUACUAAUAAACAUGUAAGUAUAUAAAGUCUGUAAGAACUACUCAUUUUUAGUGUAAUACAAAUUAGUUUGUUAUAGCUUUUACUAAUAAACAUGUAAGUAUAUAAAGUCUGUAAGAACUACUCAUUUUUAACUAAUGAAUUAGAUCCAUAAUAUUCAUAAACUUUCUCUCUGUUUUCUCGAUAACCAAACAGCAUUUUCAAUUCAUUUUACACUUGUCAUGAGCUUCUCAUCUUCUGUCUUGAAGGAAGAAAUUGCAAAAGACGAAUAAAACGAUUUCCUUUACACAUUCAAUCAAUGCUGCUGCCUUCAUAUCUUUAUUAUUAUCGGAGGGAUGAUACUGUUGAGAGCCGAAACCAUUACCCAUACUCACUCCUCUUAUGGCCGUGUCUAACUCUCUACAAUAAUUUCGAUAUUUCUGUUCUUCAGUUCUUCCACUACUCAACAAAUGCGAAGGUUUGCGAUGGCUCCACUCAUUCAAGUUGAUUUUACAUUUGUUACAAUCUACUCCCGCCAUUGCUAGAGCCUCUAUGGACAUGUUUUAACAAGGUGAAGGAGAAGCUAAAUAAAAUUCACAAUUUGCCUGAAAGUUUACAGCUUCCAGGAAAUUCACCACCUCUAUAGAAUUGUAAUAACAAGAAUUGUGGUCUCCGUAAAAGAAUUUAUAAGAGUUAAUAUAAAAGAUUUGUUUAGGAGAAUGAAUUUUAUACGGACUAGAAAUACUCAUGAUUAAUUGGUUAUUCAGAUGGUUUAGAAAUCCUCUCGAUAUUAGGAAGCCAUUUAAGAUUCUGAUUAUUGUUGUUCUAAAUAUAUUAGUUUGCACCAACUUCCAAUUCCACAAUUACUCUGACAGCGGUUUUCACGGACUUAUUUAUGUAUCUGAAUCUUUUUAUUCAUGAAAGAAUAAUCUCUUGCAAACUCACAACUUCAAUUAUGAAUCAACUAGCUAGCAACCAUUUCUUUACUUUUAAUUGCUUUGGAAAUUAAGGAUUCGUCAGCCGCCAGAUUCUGCAGUGAUUCUGUUGCAUUCAAUUAUUUGUUGAACUAUUUAUGCACGAGUGGAGGAGGAAUUCUAGAAUACAUUUGAAAUAAUACAAUCAACCAAUGCAUGCACACCACUUGUAUGGAGAUUUUUCAAAAAUAAAUGCACACAUGUCAUAACAUUAUCUACUUGUUAUAUGACUGACAUGAUAUGUUUUAUGUAUUCUAAAAUUUUCCUGAGUGGAGACCAUGAGUGGUAACAUCCACGUGACAAGAGAGUAUUACAAAGAGAUAGUCUCUUGUCAAUUUGAAUAUUUAUUGUAUUGAAACUACUAAGUAUAUAAGCUCGGACAACCCUAAUUUCAUGAUGAGGGGUUAAAGACAAUACUAUUCUAAAAGAAAAUGGAACGAAAUCGUCCAUCCAUAGCCAUUAUUUGACUUUUAGAUUUGCCCUUCCAAAUUUUAACAAAAUGCGCAGACGAUUUUUAAUUUAUUCAUGUGAACGAAGUACAACAAAAUUAUUGAACCAAUCAGAACCAAGAUGGAAAUGAUCAUAAGCAAAAGUAAUUUGCAAGGACGAAUGGAAGCAGAUAAAUUAUUCUAAUUAAGAGACUAAGUGCAAGUGAAAUAACUGUAGCACUGAUUAUUCGAGUAUGGAGGGAACGUCGUCGAAGAAGGGUAAACUUCUCUGUUUCAGGAUUUCACAAUCCUCAGGACUUGCUGUGUUUGGAUCAAAAGGCUCACGAUCAGGGGGAGGUAAGCCAAGUUUCAUUUGACCCACUCGCCGCGAAUGCAGGACUUGCUUGGUAGUGACAGGUAGCCUAACAGAUUGAUGUUCUUCCAGAGCUGAAUGUAAAUUUUCUGGCCCCCACCUCUCAAGGCAUUUACCUAAAACUGCUGCAUCAGCUAUGACCAUGUUUGUGCUUCUUGCACAGUGAGGGGUUAUGGGAUGAGCCGCAUCUCCAAUUAAGACCACAUUGUCCCAGUAUAUUUGUGUCAAAGGGUCACAAUCAUAUAUAAGGUUAAGGAAAGGCUCCUUUGUUUCUUUUAUCACUCUUGCAAACUCAGGAACCCAAAUCUUCUCUGCUUCUUGGUGCAUCUUCUUGAUCAUGUCACUGCUCACUUUCAUUGUAGCUGAAUCUCCCUGAAAUUACUUAAUCAAUUUAUUAAAGCUAGCUCUGCUAACACGUAUGUAUAUAAAUGAUAAAAUGAAGCAAGUUAGGCAAUCACCUUGAGUUGAGGCUCAGGUUGAGAGAUAAACCAAAUCCAAUUGAGCCUCUUGCACAUAAGCUCAUCAAGGACGGUGUAAGUUCCAGAGGCCAAGUCCAUGUGCACGCCAUUCCCAAGCGUGGGAUAUGCCUUCCGGAUGCCUUGUAUGGUUUCUGAAUUCUCAUUUUCCGAAAAAUCAAAAACCCCCCUCCAAGCACAGUAACCUGUAUACCUGCAAAACAGAAAUGAAAGAUAAACCGUAAAUUUCAAGACAACAGAAAAUAUGAAAAUAUAAUAUAAUUUGUUCAGAAACCUGAGUUUAGAGUCUGGUAAAAAAGUCUGGCGAACUGAUGACCGGCUCCCGUCAGCCGCAACCAGCAAAUCUCCAGCUAUGUCGAUGACCUCAUCAGUUUUAAGAUUCUUAGCUUUGACAUUGACAGUUGAUUUGUCGUGAGAAAUGCAGAAAGUGAGGUACAAGUGACCCCAAAAAAAUAUUUCCGGAGGCAGAGUAUUGUAUAUAAGACUAUGAAGAUCAGUUCAAUGUGCCUGUAAAUAGUUGAAAUUUUCAUCUCUAGCUAGUAUCCGACAGAUGUUCUUUUCCUGAUCUACUGCCCGAUUCUGCACAGAAAGAAAAAUAAAAAAAAAAUCAGCACAACUUGUGGGAACAUCAGUUGAAAUUAAAGCAGUUCUGUGUAGACACAUACAUUACCUGAUCAAUGGUGAGAGGUAAGGUGAUGUUGUGAAGAAGAUCAGGUUGAUGGAGCCAUGACUUAACUAUUUUCUGGGACAAUGGAUGAAGUGCGAUUCCAGCGCCGGUUGGGUUUCCGGUUGGAGGUCCACGUGUCUUCUCGAUCACCACCACAUCCCAACCUGCUAAAAUAAGCGCUUUUUUGCUAUGCUUCCCCCAACUAUUAUAGCUUUUGGCUUCCGCAUCCUCUCACUCAUGUCUCUCUCUUCCUCUCAAACACCUGUAUGUGUGACACAAAGGGACGCUCGCGCAAAGAUAUAUUUAUAUACAGGGGAAAACUUCCCAUUCUGAAUUCAUAAAUCAGGAUGAGCCGGCAAUCAUAUGAACAUUUUUUUAAAAUAAUUAUUUUAAAUUUUUUUUAUACUAUUGUUAAUUUGACUCUCGAACCAAGUCACUACUCUAUAAAUUUUUUUCAAUCUGAACUUAUAUAUUCCAAUUCAAGAACAAGGUUUAAUAAUGUAAUGACCGUGAAAACUAUUAGACCAUAUGGUUUAACAAUGUAAUGAUAUUAUACUAUAAAAUCCUUUAAUAACUUUUUGAAUUGUAAUAAUAUUCAGGAUUCUAAACUAGAUCAGUACUAUAUACACACACAUACACAGGCGGUGCCAUGAAUUAUUUUUAACAGGCUCUAAGUUUAAAUAGUAAUUUAAUUUAAAAAAUUAAUUAACAAAUAACAUAUAUCAAAAUAAAAAUUUAUUAAAAUAUUUAAUUCAAUACACUUAUAAUUGUUCUUGACUUCGUUUUAUAUGUUAAAAACAUUAAAGAAUAAUCUCAUUAUCAAGACUACAAAAUAUGUCUUUUUCUAUUUAUAUAACAAAUCUAUCGUUUAACUAUUGUUCUCCCAUUUGAUUUCACAGAUGAUUUUUUAUCAAAUUUAUAGUUGAAAAUGCCCUUUCUACUGUAUCUCUAGUAACUGGUAAAAUCAAUACUAAUAUCACCAAUAAAUAAACUAAUGAAUAUAAUUUACCUUUCUUAGUCUCACCGCAUUGUUAUUUUAUUAUUUAUUUGAAAACUGAUAAUAAAUUAUGAUUAAAUAUGUUCGCAGCAAUUACAAAGUCUUGAUACAAUGUUUCUAUCUCACAUGAUGACGUAACAUCAAUAUCGAUGAUCGCUAAUUAGGGAUUCCAUUAUCCUAUUUUCCCUCUCACAUGAUGAAUAAAUAAACAGUUUUAAAAUCUCGCGUCACCCAAUGUCUAGAAUGUACCCGGAGGCCGCAGCCUCAAAAGUAGUCAAAUUAAAUUCAAACUCUACAAACUCAAUAACAUGAUUACGUCUUAUUCUUUCUUAAUUGAAGUUGAUUUUUCAAGGAGGCAAUUUGUCCCGUCGUAUGCAGCCAAGUUAGAACGAAAAAAUGCUUAAUUAAAAUCUUACGAUCUUGAAGAAACCUUUCUAAUCAAAAUAAAUUCUCAAGUCAGAUUUUUCAAUCUGGCGAUAUGGAAUUUGCCUAAUAAAACUCUACAUUCAAACAUCACGCUUAUGAAACCCUUGCAUUCAGAAUAAAUUCUUGCGGUAUAUAAAAAAAAAAAAAAUUCUUGCGGGUAAGGAGGAUCAAAUGCAAGAAAAAAGUUUGAUAAAAAUGAAUAAAAGGAAUAAGGUAAAAGGAUGAAUAAUUUUGGUAAAAUUAGGUAUCUUGUGAAUAAAAUUCAUUGAUGGUAUGUUUCCUAUGAAGUUUAUAGUAUGUGAUGAUAGCAUUCUUCUGUAGGUAUUCAGGUUAUUGUGCAUGGCGAGGGGUUCUUGAUUUUUCGGGGAUUGAGGAUUCAGAGAUCAUCAAAGGCAUGAGGAGGGUGUGUCCUGACCUGGGGAAAUGCUUAUACUACGACCUGGCAUCUGGAACUCACAGUGUGUUUUAUGAGCUUCUCAAUAAAAGGCUCAAUUGGGUUUGGUAUAUCAACCAACCUGAGCCCAUAAUGAAGGUGAUUGCUUUGCUUUCUCCCACUCGCGUGCAAUCUUUGUAUAUACUACUAACCAUGAACUGUACUUGACCUUACUUUAAGGGCCGCAGAGGUUUUGCUGUAAGUUGUUAGAACUAAAUGCUGAAUAAAACACUUAGCAUUCAUGAUGCUAGGACGCAGAUUUUUGUGAUGCUUUAGUUUAGUUUCAAAGUUUCUAAAUCUGAAUUUCUACUCACAUUAAGAAACCAUGUAUUUCUCACCUGGUAAAUUCAAUCCUACAUAUUGACUUCGAGGCAACAUAUGCUUCUGGGACCGCUGGACUUCACCUUCUGGGAUGAGCAGAUGACAAGGAGUUGCCACUAAUUACAGAUAGAUACGUUUCUUUUCCAAAUUACAUAUGUUAACCAGCCAGUUCUAAUUAUUAUUAUUUGGAAACUAUGUGCAGGGAAAUUCAGUAACCAUGAGAGUAAGCAAUGACAUGAUCAAGAACAUGCACGAAGAAGCAGAGAAGGUUUGGCUUCCUGAGUUUGUGAAGGUCAUUAAAGAAACAAAAGAACCUUUCAUAAAUGCGAUGUAUGAUUGUGAUCCUCUUAAACAAAUAUUUUGGAGUAACAUAGUAUUAAUUGGAGAUGCUGCUCACCCAACAACUCCUCAUGGUCUGAGAAGCACGAACAUGUCAAUACUAGAUGCAAUGGUCUUGGGAAAAAGCCUUGAAAAGUGGGGAGUGGAGGGUUUGCUUUCAGCUCUUGAAGAAUAUCAGACAGUUCGGCUACCUGUAACCUCAAAACAAGUCCUGCAUUCACGGCGACUUGGUCGAAUUAAACAAGGCUUAGCUCUUCCAGAUCGUGAACCUUUUAAUCCGAAGACAGCAAGUCCACGAGACUGUCAAUAGCUUCAACAGAAAACUAUGCCUUUCUUCGCAGACCUGCCUUCUCUGGUUGACUCAACAUUAUGCUCCACUUGACCUGGGAGAAGAUGAAGCAUGUUCCAAGCAACCGAAUAGUAGUUAAGUUUCAAUUCUUUACACUUAUUUACAUCAUACCCAACUUAGUUCUCAUUGUGUGUAGUCUAGUAGGAAUCUCGUGUUUGUAUAGAACUAUUGUAUCCUUGUCAUCGAUCUUUGUUUUAUUUUCAUUUAUCUUGUUAUGCAGGAAUAAACUUAAUUAUUGUGAUUAAAACAAAAAUUAUGAUCGGUUUCAUGUGCCUAUUAAAGCUAUAAGAAAUUAAACUUUUGAAUUCAAAAGGACAUCCAGCAAUUUGCCACGGGCUGGCGUAAGAGUUCUGACAUUAACAAGCCGUCAUUGUCCCAACUAACUUGAAGUUCUGUCUGGCAAUUCUUCAUAAUUUUUGACGAAAGUAAAAGCUAACAACUAACUUCAACAGAGUAAGCAUUCAAUGGUCGAUUAUUUUAAUAUUAUAUUCACUCCAUAAUUGAGGAUGAUAGUAUGAUACCAAAUGGUUGUGGCUCAGUUGGCAGUGUAGGCUGAGUUUGUGGGAAGAGCUAUCGGGUUCGAUCCCCACUAAACACACCAUUUGGGAGGAGUAAAGAGCUUUAAUUGUGACUAUACUCCGAAUCCGGAUUAAUCGAGGCCCAAUGCGGUCGCGGCACAUCGGAUGGUUUACAAAAAAAAAAAAAUUGAGGAUGAGUCUUUCUUUGUUAUUAUAUCAAUUGUUUUAUAAUUUUAAGAAGAUGAAUCAGCAUUGUAAGCCAUCAUUUUCAUUUAUAAUAAGAUUUAAUAUACAAAAUGACUGGUGAGGUACCACCAUACCAGGCGGUGCAUGGAAAGAUGGGGAAUUUGGGACUUCCAGUGCGGCGAGAGACUGAGCAUGAGGGUGCUGCAGCGGCUGGGCAUCACUUAUGAGGUAGCUACUUAAUGACCUGAUCAGUUGAGUUUUGGGGAAUUUGGAUUUUGGAUCAAUUAGUUAGGGAGUUGAGUGAGUUUUGUAACUUUAAGAAAAUAGAAUUUGACUGUAAUUAUUAGUUAUAUCUUUUACGAUAAGUUUUAAUAAGAGUAAAUUUACAAUUAACUAUUAUUAUUAAAAAAAAAAAAACCUUAGCCUCCUCUUACCUCCGCCCUUGGUACCUGCUAAAACCAAAUACCCAAAUUAUGAAAACGAAGAGCGAGACGAUAUGUUACUGGAUUGUUAUCAAAAUUUGAAGCUAGAACUUAGCAAUUGCCCAAAGAUAAAGAUUUGCUAAGAUUUUAGACCCACAGACUUUUUAGUACCAAUUUAUCUUCUUUCCUUUAAGAAUGAUGGUGAUUUGUAGAGCCAUGCCCUGUAUUCAAAAUAAACAAAUUUGAAGAAUAUAUCUGUUGAUUCCGGUAGGGCAGGAGUCUCAUGCACAAGUUUCUCAUCUAUUUUCUUACCAGAACAAAUUUCUAGUCAAAAUGAGGGUGUGAAAGGAAGAUAAAUAGACAAAAUUUGGCCCACCACUUCAUUCUUCCUAAAUGAAUAGCUUUUUACCCUAUUAAACGAGGAAAAAUGGAUUAGAUUCUCCCUUAAUUUGAUUUGAUCUGAUUAGUGAUUACAAAAUAAAGACCACACACUUUAUUGUAGUGUGUUUCGUCAUUUAAUACAUUGAAGUUUGUAUGUGGCCCUAGUUUUAGAUCACUUAAUUGGAAAGGGACUUCCUUUUUUUUUUUUGAUACAUUGGAGUCUAGUAAAACUAGGCUAAAACAGAACGGGGAAUAGAGGUUUCAUAUAUAUCAUUACAUAAGUAAUAACCAAGACUCUCAGGGGGGUUUUCAAAGACAUGAAGUCUAAGGGGUAAGGAACCAGCAAGUUUCGCCAUGGAAUCUACAGCAAAAUUAGCUUCCCGAUAUAUAUACUUUAUAGGAAUGAGCCAUUGUCUAUUUAUCAGUUCCUUUAUGGCAGUUAUGAGAGAAAAAAUGUGCAUUAGGCAUCAAGCUAGUAGAGGAAAUAAGUUGGGAAACACAUUGGCUAUCCACCUCUGCAAUUAAAUAACGAAUGCCAUGGUCCCAAGCAAUAUUAAGUCCUUGAAAAAGACCCCAAAGUUCUGCAGUAGUCACCGAUCCAAAUCCAAUGUUCAUGCCAAAGCCAAACUGCCACUUUCCAGAGCAAUCCCUCACCAAGCCCCAGCGCUGGCUAGACCAUUCUUUAAUCGUGAUCCAUCAGUAUUUAAUUUGAAAAAAGAUUCAGGGGGAGCUUGCCAUCUAACAUCUUUGAUGAUCUUAUUACUCUGACCGAAACUAAGAGUUGAUCGUGCAUUUUGAAUGUCCUGAGCCCAAGAUUUAAUUUCAGCAACAACAUGAGUGCAACAAGGGGAUUUUUGUGAGAAAAGAAAUUGAUUACGCCAAAACCAAAUUUUCCAGAUAGCCACUCCAAAUUGAUUACGCCAAAACAACAUGAAUGCAGCAAGGGGAUUUUUGUGAGUAAAGAAAUUGAUUACUCCAAAACCAAAUUUUCCAGAUAGCCGCUCCAAAUAAACAUGCCCAUUCAUCCCACACUUCAUUGAUACCAGUCUUUCCCAAGUUGAAACAGAGCCAAUCACGAAGAUUAAAGGAGAAAAAUUGAUGUCUGAAGUUGACUGGAAUUAAACAAUUCCAUAUUCUCUUUGCAACAAAACAGUCCCUAAGUGCAUGCAUCGCGUUUUCUUUCUCAUGGCCACAUCUUUCGCAAUUCAUUUUAUCCAGAAUAUGCCUCUUAAAAAGCUCCUCUCUAGUUUUAAUUUUUCCAUGCAUCACCAACCAUAAAAGAAUUUAACUCGUUGGGGCCCGGAAAGGGACUUCCUUAAUUAUUUUUCAAAAGCACAUCCUAUAAAACUCCAACAGAUGGAGUCCAAGUUCUAGAAUAGAUGAAUAAAUGAUGUCAAUUAAAUGGCAAUAGCACACCAAAGAAGACAGAGAAACAAGUUAGGAGAGAUUCUAGAGUAUACCAAAAGUAUUACAUCUAAUUAAUAUUUAUAUGUUAUGUGUGUAUUUAUUUUAAAAAAUUAUUAUGUAAUUAAUAAUUAUAUUUAAUUGAACUAUACAUAUCAUAUAUGUAUUAGUUAUAUGUAGCACCUAUAUUAUACUCUAGAAUUUCUCACAAGAUAAUAUGUCAAUAUACCACAAACACAAAGUUUGAAUCCUGUGAAAUAUGUUUAAAAUUGACUCUUGUAGAAAUUAUUAUGUGGUGGUGAAAUUAUUAUGAUAAAUAAUAUAUUAACACAUGUCAAUAUAUAAUUAUGCUACAUCAAUGAGGGUACCAUCGGUUUCACAUUUUUAUUUUACGUCUUAACUUUUGUAUUGGCCAUAUUAGUUUUGUAUUAUAUAUAUAUAUAUAUAUAUAACUACUAAGUUAUUUUUUGCAAUCAAUAAAUAUCUAAUAACUCAAUACUUUUAUAUUUAUGCUCAUAAAAUUUUUACUUUUUAAAUAAAUAUUAAAAUAUCUUAAAAAUAAUAAAUUAUAUUUUUUUAACACUAAUUAAAACAAAUAAUUUUCACAUUUAAUCUUGUUUUAGUUUAUAACAUGGACCAUUCACUCACCACUUGGCAUAACUUUGUAACCUAGGUCCUGUUUGGAAUCGAAGUAUUAUACCUUUUAAGUUACAACUGCCGUAAAAAUUUUGUAAUUAUAAAAAAAAAAUUAAUAGCUCUGAACUUAAUGAUUGCUUCUAAACUUUAGGUAUUUAUUUAUUUAAUUAAUUGUCUAAAAUUUACUUGUUAAUGUUAUUGACAAUACUUAUGUAUUGAUUAAAAAGAUGAAGUAAGGUAUUGAUCUUAUUGAUCAACAGAAAUAUUUUAUAUUAGAUUGACGUAUUUGUGUAUUUAUUUUAAUGUUAAAACUUUAAUUUCUCAUUUAUAUUGAUAAAAUUUAGAAAUGGGUAUUAUAUGUAGAGUUUUAAGCUCCUAUUAUAAAUUUAUAGUUUGACUUAUAUAAUUAAAUUUAUUUUUUGUCUUUUUAAAAGUAUUGUUUUAAUAUUUGUGAAGUAAAAACCCAUUGCAGGUUACGCGAGGAUUUAGUAAUUGUUCAAACCUACAGCAAGUGAAUUUUUUUUUUUAAAUAAAAAACCCAUAGCGAGUUAAGAAUUUACUGAUUUAAUUACUUUUUACAAGUGCAUGUUUGAUAAUGAUAAAAUCACUGCACUGAAAGGAAUUCUAUGAAGAAUAUAAUUCUUGUUCUGUAUUUUUAAUGAAAUUUACAGAAUUAUUUAUACAAAUAAAGACAAUGUAGCCGUUGAAAGGCUUAAUAAUAUUAAAGGAGAAUAAGUGAAUACUUCCUAAACUAUUGCACAAUAUCUUUAUAAAAUAGGAAUGAAAUAUUCCUACAUGAUAUUGACAUUCAAGUGCAAAAAUCGUGCCGGGCAUAUUCCUUGACAAAUAACUUUGACGUGAGUGUUAGGAAAUUGGUAGGUGAAGCAGACACGCAGCUAAAGUGAAAUUGUAAGAAAAUAAAGAACAAGCACAAUAGAGAACACCAGAAAUUACGUGGUUCGGCAUUUAGCCUACGUCCACGGGCAAAAACAGAAGGAAAUAUUUUACUAGUGAAAAGGAGUUACAAGUAUUGUAAUAUUUUAGCUCACUACUCAAAACCCCAAUACACCCAAACUCUCUCAAUCACUGUAAUAAGAGCUUAUAAAUGCAAGCUCUUAAACUCCCUAAAUUGCUCUCUAAAAUGGAAUGCAUAAACUCUUCAUUUGUACUUCUAUUUAUAGCAAACUAGUGGCCAAGAAAAUCAAAGCCGUGUUCACCAAAUUCUUCAUCAAAACCGUGUGCAGCAAAUUCAAUCUUCAAACUUGUUGCAAGCUUACCAUUCUUGUCAAAGCUUCUAGAUGCAGCCAUGCCAAACACUUCUAGAUGCAGCCAUGCCAAACACUUCUAGAUGCAGCCAGUAGUGGAUUUCCUUUUAUCAAGGUCUCCUACAAAAUCUGAAUCCACAUAGCCACUGAUAGUAAACUCUGAUCCUCCAUAACAUAAUGCAACAUCUGAGGUUCCUCUGAUGUAUCUCAGAAUCCUCUUCACAGAUAUCCAAUGCUCUCCACCAGGAUUCGCCAUGUAUCGACUGACUGCUCCCACUGCUUGUGCAAUGUCCGGUCUAGUACAUAUCAUAGCGAACAUCAAACUUCCCACUGCUGAUGCAUACGGUACUCGAGACAUCUCCUUCCUCUCUGCUUCAUUGCUAGGACACAUACUUGAGGAUAAUUUGAAAUUAACAGGAAGUGGGGUAAAAAUUGACUUAUAAUCUUGCAUGUUGAAGCGUCGCAAGAUUUUCUUCAAGUAAUUCUUCUGCGAAAGUCAAAUCUUCUUGUUAUUUCUGUCUCGGUGAAUUUGCAUCCCUAGAAUCUUGUUUGCUGGUCCCAAGUCCUUCAUUUCAAACUCCCUAGCCAACUGUGCCUUCAAUUCUUGGACUCGAUCUUUGUUGGGGCCUGGUACCAACAUGUCAUCCACAUACAACAGUAAAAUAAUGAAAUCAUUAUCUUCAAACCUCUUGUAAUAUGCACAAUGGUCUGAACUGAGUCUGUUGUAUCCAAGGCUCAUAAUGAAGGAAUCAAAUCUCUUAUACCAACACCUCGGCGCCUGUUUGAGACCGUAUAGAGAUUUGUUCAACCUGCAAACCAAGUUCUCCUUUCCUGUUUCUGCAAAACCUUCUGGUUGGAGCAUAUAUAUUUCUUCUUCAAGUUCUCCAUGAAGAAAUGCAGUUUUCACAUCUAACUGCUCUAGAUGUAAGUCAAAUGUAGCACACAUUGCCAAGACUAUUCUGACUGUUGUGAGUCGAACCACCGGAGAAAAUAUCUCGUUAAAGUCAAUACCUUCUUUCUGAGCAUAUCCUUUCACCACCAGUCUUGCACGAUACCGCUCCACUUAGUCAUUGCCAUCACGUUUGAUCUUGUAGACCCAUUUGUUUCCAAUGGCUUUUCUUCCACGUGGUAGUGGUACAAGUUCCCAUGUCUUGUUCUUGUGUAGAGCUUCAAUUUCUUCCUGCAUUGCUGUCAUCCACAAAGCAACAUCUGAGCUGUUUAAAGCUUCAUGGAAAGUUAAAGGCUCUCCAUCCUCUGUCAGAAGACAGUAUGCAACAUUGAUCUCUAUGACAUACUCCAAGUGCCACGUUGGCGGUCGUCUCUCACGAGUUGACCGACGAAUUUCUUGAGCCUCGGACUCGACUGGUUCUUGUUCCUCUUGCUCUAGUGCUGCUUCAGAAGAAUCUGAAUCUUCUGGAUUAUUUUUCACAUAUACCGGUACAGUCUCUGACUUUUCUUUUACAGUGCUAUCAUCAUCAUCUUUCCUUUGCAGUUGAUCUUCUACAAAAAUAACAUCUCUGCUGAUGACGAUCUUGUGGGCAGUGGGAUCCCACAGACGAUACCCCUUUACUCCAUCAGCAUAUCCCAAGAAGAUACAUCUUCUAGAUUUUGCAUCCAGCUUUGUUCUUUCUCGGGCAUUGUACAUCACGUACACAGGACAUCCAAAUGCAUGUAGGUAGGAAUAAUCAGUUGGCUUUCCAGUCCACAUCUCAAUCGCCGUCUUCAACCCAAUUGCUGUAGAUGGCGACCGAUUUACUAUAUAACAGGCAGUUUUGGCUGCUUCUGCCCAGAAUGAAUUGGGUAGAUCAGCAGUCCUCAACAUAGCUCUUAUCCGUUCUGUAAGAGUUCUGUUCAUCCGCUCUGCCACUCCAUUUUGUUGAGGAGUGUAUGCCACCGUAAACUGCCUCUGAAUACCUUCUUGCUUACAGAAAGCAAGAAACUCUCCGUCUGUAUACUCUCCACCAUUAUCUGUCCUCAAGCACUUGAUCUUUUUACCAGAUUCAAGUUCCACCCGCGCUUUGUAUUCUUUAAACACUAGAAAUACAUCUGACUUUUUCUUAAUUGGAUACACCCAACAUCUUCUGGAAUAAUCAUCAAUGAAAGUCACCAUGUACUUUGCACCUCCCAUGGAUAUAUCCAGUGAUUCCCAAACAUCAGAAUGAAUCAAGUCUAGAAUGCAUUUACUUCUAGCAAUAGAUCUACUAAAUUUUAAUCUAUGCUGCUUACUUAUAACACAAUGCUCGCAAAAUGGUAAACUUACCGAUUUGAGCCCCGGAAGCAAUUUUCGCUCAGAGAGAAUCUUCAAACCUUGUUCUGACAUGUGACCAAGUUUGAGAUGCCACAUCAUAGUUGACUCUUCUCCAUUUGAUGCGACACACGCAUCAGCCUCCUGUAGUGUUUCUCCUUUAAGCAUGAAUAGAUUAGCACCGAUCUUUUCUGCUUUCAUCAAUACAAGCGCGCCUUUAACAAUCUUCAUAAUUCCAUUCUCCACAUGAGUUUUGCACCCAUGAUUGUCUAUUUGUCCUAAAGACAAUAGAUUUUUCUUCAGGCCAUUGACAUGUCGUACCUCCCCAAUUGUGCGAAUUGUACCAUCAAAUAUUUUUAUUUUGAUAGUACCAAUACCAGCGAUCUCCAAGGCAUGAUUGUUACCCAUAUAUACAAAUCCUCCUGAGAUAGGUUCAUAUGUGUGGAACCAUUCUCUCCUAGAGGUCAUGUGCCAGGUAGCUCCUGAGUCUAUAAGCCAGACAUCAGAAAGUCAUUUUCUGCCUUCUGAAACAGUUGUUGCCUCACUGUAGAGAAUUUCGCCAUCAUCCGAGGUACUUGCUACACACCCCUGAGCAUUUGAUGACUCAGGUUCUUUGCCUUCUCUUCACUUCUGGUUACUCCAACACUCUUUCUUGACGUGCCCUUUCUUGCCACAGUUGUAGCAUUUAACAUUCUUCUUACUUCUGGAUUUUGAUCUACCAUGAUUUUGACUCCCACUAGGGCCACGUUCCGUUGAUCUCCCUCUCAUCACCGAUAGCGCCUCCGCUUGCUGCGAACUUGCUAGUCUGUUUUCCUUAUUUUUCCGCAUGCUCUCCUCAUUUAAUACGGAGGCUGCAACAUCGUCGAAAACUAGACUGUCCGCUGGAUUAUUGUUCGUCAGGUUGAUGAUGAGUUGAUCAUACGAAUCUGGUAGACUUUGAAGUAGAAGCUCUGCAUGUUCAUUUUCCUCUAUAUUAUGACCCAACGUUGUGAGUUGUGAAAAUAGAGUCUUCAAGGUGUUGAUGUGGUCAGUCACUAUUGUAGAUUCUGCCAUUCGAAGAGUAUAGAGUUUCCUCUUCAAGAAGAUUUUAUUGUGUAAUGACUUGGCCUCGUACAAUUUUGUGAGAGUAUCUCAUAUUUCCUUCGCCGUAUUUUUCUCUGCCACACUGGAUAAUACUCCAUCUGCAAGUGCCAAGUGUAGAUCAGAAAUGGCGUUGCCGUCUACCUCGUUCCACUUGUCAUCAGUUAUCUCCAUGGGCCUUUCUCCAAUUGCUGCCAAGCAAUUAUUUUUCCUCAAUACAGCUUUCAUCUUCAUUUUCCACAACGAAAAAUUAUUUCCGUUAAAUUUCUCAAUUUCAUACUUUGCCGCCAUUUUGUUGAUAAAUACUGCACACAAGCUAGUAUACCACCUUGAAUAGUUGUGAGUAUGUGUGAGAAUGCACACCAGGAAAGUUCCCAGGAAAGACUGGAGGGGUCACAAUGGUCCCACUUAAAACCCAGACUCCUUAAGCUCUUAUUGCCUUUGUGACAGAACUUUCCUAGACAUGUACAAAACCACACAGUUGCUUUACUCACACCACUAUUCCCUGCUUUGCACCGUAAAAUUCUUGGAUCGCUCCCACCGUUUCACGUGAAUAGUACCGUAUACGUGAAUAGUACCGUAUAUGUGAACAAAACCGUAUACGUGAACAAUACCGUAUACGUGAAAUAGUGUCGUAUAUGUGUAUAGUGCCGUAUACGUGAAUAGUACCCCUUACGUGAACAGUUCCUGACUCCAAAAAAUACAACCAAUAGCUCUGAUACCACUGUUAGGAAAUUGGUAGGUGAAGCAGACACGCAGCUAAAGUGAAAUUGUAAGAAAAUAAAGAACAAGCACAAUAGAGAACACCAGAAAUUACGUGGUUCGGCUUUUAGCCUACGUCCACGGGCGAAAACAGAAGAAAAUAUUUUACUAGUGAAAAGGAGUUACAAGUAUUGUAGUAUUUUAGCUCACUACUCAAAACCCCAAUACACCCAAACUCUCUCAAUCACUGUAAUAAGAGCUUAUAAAUGCAAGCUCUUAAACUCCCUGAAUUGCUCUCUAAAAUGGAAUGCAUAAACUCUUCAUCUGUACUUCUAUUUAUAGCAAACUAGUGGCCAAGAAAAUCAAAGCCGUGUUCACCAAAUUCUUCAUCAAAACCGUGUGCAGCAAAUUCAAUCUUCAAACUUGUUGCAAGCUGACCAUUCUUGUCAAAGCUUCUAGAUGCAGCCAUGCCAAACACUUCUAGAUGCAGCCAUGCCAAACACUUCUAGAUGCAGCCAACUUUGACAGUGAGCAAGUCCUGUGGAGUGAUAAACCCGUUCUUGACUUGACCGUUGAUGACUUUCCUUUUGGUAAUCUUGGUCUGCUUGCUUAACAAGUGGUACCCGUAACCCAUCCAUACAGCUAGCCUAGCUAAACAGCAUAAAUAAAUGUCUAACGAUUCUUAUAUAAAAAGCCACCACCCCAAGCCAAAAGAAAAAAAAAAUUGUGCUGAACACAACAAUAUAAUUUCUUCAGUUAUAUUUACUUGGAAACAAGAGAGAUGAAUAUGAAGAAGCAGAAGCCAAAAGCUAUUGUAGUUGGAGGAAGCAUUGCUGGGGAAUCAUGCGCAAAAGCACUUGUUUCAGCAGGCUGGGAUGUUGUUGUGAUUGAGAAAACUCGUGGACCCCCAACCCAAAACCCAACCGGUGCUGGCCUUGGACUCGAUCCAUUGGCUCAGAAAAUUGUUCAGUCAUGGCUCCAUGAACCUGAACUUCUUUACAACAACACUUUACCUAUCACCAUUACUGAGGUAUAUAAAAUAAUAUAUUUAAUUUCUUUUUUCCCAGUAGAAUCCAGUAGUGCUUUGAAUUAUUUUUUUUUCUUUUAACCACGAGGUAUCCUGGGGAGGGCCCCAACUGUGGGAGACACCUUUAAGCCUGUACCACAACCCAGACUGGAAGUCCCCGCUCGAACCGGGAGACACAGGUUCUCCCAACAAAGGCGACUUCCCUGCAACUCGUGUAUACUUUGAAUUAUACCGAUCUCUUAAAGAUAUUAGUUGCACACGUGUAUAUACAAUGGUGUAUGGUUAAGAUUUGAUAAAAGUAUAUUUUGCUCUGCACAAAAUACAAUUUAGAAUGGAAUUUCAUUGGGAAAAAAAUAUCUAUAUAUGUUGAAUAUAUAAAAUUUCAAUUUGUGUUUAAUUGCAGAACCUAGCAACAGAUGGGGAAAAGAAGAUCAGCUGGGUAAUAGGAAGAGAAGAAGGCGCUAGGUUUCUGACAGCAUAUUGGGCUGAUCUUCAUGGCCUUAUAUACAAUACUCUGCCACCUGAAAUAUUUUUAUGGGGUCACCAGUACCUCUCUUUCUGUAUUUCUGAAGACAAAUUAACUGUCAAAGUUAGAGCUAAGGAUCUUGAGACUGAUGAAAUAAUCGAGAUAGUAGGAGAUUUGCUCGUCGGAGCAGAUGGGAUCCUCUCAUCAAUUGGUCAGAGCAUUCUACCUGACUUCAAAUUGAGGUUUGUGCUUUGCUUGUGACUAUCAAUAAAAGUAAUUAAUUUUUGAGUAUUUUGUUUCAUAAAUUUCAAUGUGUUUUAAUAGGUACACAGGAUACUGUGCGUGGAGAGGUGUUUUUAAUUUUUCAGAAAACUAUUCAGAAACCAUCUUAGGCAUUCGAAAAUCGUAUCCUGAUAUUGGGAAAUGCCUUUACACGAAUAUUGGUUCAGGAUCUCACAUCAUACUCACUGAGCUUAAGAAAGAGAAGUUCAAUUGGGGUUGGUAUGUCAAUCAACCUGAGCCCGAGCUCAAGGUAACUGCUUACUUUUGUUUCAUCUUUUUAUUUUGUUUUCGGGGUUUGGGUUGAGUGCUAAAAUCUAAUUUUUGCAAACGAUCAACACAGCUCAGACCAUCACUGGAUCCAAUUUCUUUUUUAUUUUAAUUUUCCGGUUUAUCAAUGCAGUAUGACGUCACAUUGGGAAACAAAUUAUUUUAUUCUCUGCAGGGAAAUACAACUUCUGUGAAAGUAAGCAGUGACAUGAUCGAGGAGUUGCACCAAAGAGCAGAGCAGGUUUGGUUACCUGAAUUGUCAAGAAUGAUCAAAGAAACAAAGGAUCCUUUCCUUAAUGCUAUAUAUGAUUGCGAUCCUUUGGAGAAAAUCAUCUGGGACAGAGUGGUGCUAACAGGAGAUGCAGCUCACCCGACAACUCCACACUCUGCCAGAAGCACAAACAUGGCGAUAAUAGAUGCAGCAGUGUUAGGAAAAUGCCUCGAGAAGUGGGGGCCGGAUCAUUUAUACUCUGCUCUGGAAGAAUAUCAAUCCAUUAGGAAACCUGUAACUUCAGCACAAGUUCUACAUUCGCGACGAUUGGGUCAAAUGAAACAAGGGUUAAGUAUUCCUGGAAGGGAGCGGCCUUUUGAUCCAAAGACAGCAAGUCUAGAGGACUCGGAAUUCAUCGUUGUGCCUCCUUUCGACGUUGUUCCUCCGAUUCUUGAUUCAAUUUUUCGUUCUGCUUGAUAACUUCAAAGGACACGGCUUGGUCUGUUCAUUAUGCUAACGAUAGCU